UACCAAUUGCCGAAACACCAUUGAAGGAUGGCUCCAAGCUUCGGUUUCAUCUCCUUAGUGCAUGACUCUUGGAAUCGUAGCAUCAGUUGGAUCAACUUGGAAGCUUACACACUAUCAUCUAUACCUUAGUAGUCAUUUUGUGAUUGUUUUGAAGUUGGUUAAAAGUGGCAUGUAAUAAAAAAGAGUCUUGUAGUAUUAUGAUAUUUUGUGGUGGAACCAGAAGUUAAAAAUGGCCAUUUUUAUGUUUGUAUGAUAUGUUAGAUAUUUUGGUAAAUAUGAUAUGUGAUGCAUAUAUAUAAUAUUUGAAAUAGUUGAGAUUUUGAUUGUGA